rnacentral:rRNA from 1 species
UAGGGAAUAUUGCAAAUGGGCGAAAGCCUGAUGUAGCAACGCCGCAUGUGCGAUGAAGGUCUUCGGAUUGUAAAGCACUUUUUGGAGGGAUGAGGAAGGACAGUACCUCCAGAAUAAGCCUCGGCUAACUACGUGCCAGCAGCCGCGGUAACGCGUAGGAGGCAAGCGUUAUUCGGAUUUACUGGGCGUAAAGCGCGUGCAGGCGGUUUGGAAAGUUGGAUGUGAAAGCUCCUGGCUCAACUGGGAGAGGUCGUUCAAAACUUCCAGACUUGAGAGUGGUAGAGGGAGGUGGAAUUCCGGGUGUAGUGGUGAAAUGCGUAGAUAUCCGGAGGAACACCAGUGGCGAAAGCGGCCCCCUGGACCACUUCUGACGCUCAGACGCGAAAGCUAGGGUAGCAAACGG